GGUACAAUUGGGACUGACUACUGGAUGUGUUACAUCGCUUCUAAUGAUUGGAAAAGCCGUUUGUACUUCGUGUCAGAAACAGCGCGAGCGUUUGGAGUACAUCUGUACGUCAGAAAUAUACCGGGGCAUCACUUUACUGUCCGCAUCCACUGCAUAUAGUAUAUAUAAUGGGUUCUAUAUUGUUGUCUGUUGUCGAGUUGCGCCGCGCCACUCGCGUCCGAGGAAGACACGGAAGCAGCGGGCAACGCUGCGGGUUUUUCCCGGGGAUGAACCCGCGAGAGUGGAGGAGUUCCGGAGAACAUCUGCGCUGUGUGUCGAUGCACCUUACGAGAGAAUAAGACCAGCAAGCAAGGCAACUGCAAUGAAGCAUCAAGAAAGACAUGAGCAGGCCAGCCACCCUGAGACUGAUAAUUCAUGACAUUUCUGUCGAAGUGGAUGGUGAGCAAAGAUGGUGGCCACGUUUUGGAGCAGCACCUGGAUUUUGCAGACGGCUAUGUAUUCUUUGGCUGCUUGUCUUUUUUUCUCCAUUAUGUUUCUGUUGCCUAAAGAUUAUUUGUGAGGAUGAAUCCAGAGGACACAACAUAAUGCACUGCAAAACGUCCUAAGACAGGAGAAAUGGUGAAGAUGCACUGUUCCAGCAUUGGAAGUCUGUAUUUUUAAGUGUUAUA